GCAGCUUAGUCGUCAGUGACCACGAAAACUAUGAAGAAUUCCGAAUAUCUGAAACAAUAUACCUAAUAGCAAAAACAAAGCGAGAUUAAACCGUAAAAGUAGUUUUAAUUACAUUGGACUCUGUUAUUGACUAUGAUAAAAGCG